UCCUCUUUGUUAAGAUCUGUAUAAAGACAAUGAAGUAAUUGGCUUGUGGUUGCCUUUAACUAAAAUCAUGGUGGAGACUGAUUUAGAUACAGUGAAGCACAUCUCGUGAGACCACUUUGUUCAAUGUUGGUUUCUAGGAAGGAAGCUGUGUCAGCUGCUAAGCCACCCAGCAAGCACAUCUCUUGAUGACUAUGGAGUAGCACACUUUCGAGUUGCAGAAGAGCCAUGUGAGGGGUGGAUCCCACCAUCUUCACCUCACCCUGGGUACACACAGAACCCAGUGUGAAUUUGGGCCAUGUGGGGUGUUAGUACAUGGAAGGGAAGUAUCACUCAGAGGGUGCUGUUUAAAAGACUUAUCCUUGACAGAGAUUUGUGAACAGUCAGAUACAUGAACUUGAGAACUGCACACCUACCCAGAAAUUUCUGCAAAAGCUCUCUGCUGUUGGAAAGUCCUGUCAUUGGAAAGUGUUUCUUUUGUAAAAAUCAUCUGUGAAAUAAAGUCAAACUGUCUUUGUUCAACCAGGCAAUCUGCACAGUUUUUAAAGCCAGAUUCAGAGGAAGACAUGAAACAAGGCUUCCUCAGUCAGGCCAAACCCUACUCUCGGUGCUGUGCCUCAGUGGACUCCCUGGACAGAGCAGCUGUAGGUGGUGGUGCGGCCUCUGUGCCUUCCUGGAGUGUGAGGCUUUCCUGGCUUAAGCAGCAAGAACGUCAGCAAGGAGAACAAGAUAGAAAUGGACUCAAGAAUAGAGCAAAACCCUUUGAUGACAUCUUUGCACCUUUCAUGGAAAGUAAGAUGUCCUCUGAUUCACCUCGGAAGUCUUCAUUUCUCAAGGCUCGCCUCAGAUGCAUCGUAGAGGAAAGGUGCCAGGGAGCUGCUCUUGCUAUAUUGAGAGCCAGUGAAUCUGGGUUCAUCACCCUCUGA
rnacentral:lncRNA from 1 species